AGGGUGACAGGUGGUGCAUGGUUGUCGUCAGCUCGUGUCGUGAGAUGUUGGGUUAAGUCCCGCAACGAGCGCAACCCUCGACCUUAGUUGCCAGCAUUCAGUUGGGCACUCUAAGGUGACUGCCGGCUAAAAGUCGGAGGAAGGUGGGGAUGACGUCAAAUCAUCAUGCCCCUUAUGACCUGGGCUACACACGUGCUACAAUGGGCGGUACAAAGGGUCGCGAACCCGCGAGGGGGAGCCAAUCCCAAAAAGCCGCUCUCAGUUCGGAUUGCAGGCUGCAACUCGCCUGCAUGAAGCCGGAAUCGCUAGUAACCGCGGAUCAGCAUGCCGCGGUGAAUACGUUCCCGGGCCUU
rnacentral:rRNA from 1 species